GAUGAAGAACGCAGCGAAAUGCGAUAAGUAGUGUGAAUUGCAGAAUUCAGUGAAUCAUCGAAUCUUUGAACGCACAUUGCGCCCCUUGGUAUUCCAUGGGGCAUGCCUGUUCGAGCGUCAUUUGUACCUUCAAGCUCUGCUUGGUGUUGGGUGUUUGUCUCGCCUCUGCGUGUAGACUCGCCUCAAAACAAUUGGCAGCCGGCGUAUUGAUUUCGGAGCGCAGUACAUCUCGCGCUUUGCACUCAUAACGACGACGUCCAAAAGUACAUUUUUACACUCUUGACCUCGAAUCAGGUAGGAAUACCCGCUGAACUUAAGCAUAUCAAUAAGCGGAGGA
rnacentral:misc_RNA from 1 species